UAUGUUUACAACUAAAUAGCUUUGGAAUAAUAGAUGUUUGGGAAAAGAGUUAGAUUCUCUUGCUGUCCCAGCAACUGUGAUGCGGAUGAACGUUACAUAGCCAUUAAAGGAAACUUUGAGAAGGGUAACUAGUAAAAUGAUGCUAAGCCAGGAAACCAGUCUGUUAUCUCACUAAAUUU
rnacentral:ncRNA from 13 species